CCAGAGGGAAGGCACAUUUUGGAUUCACAGCCAGUUUUCUUUCAUUCCCCUCACAGCCACCAUUAAUUAGGUGGUCUUCUUGGAGCAGGUCACGCCCAACAGCUUAUGGCACUAUAUUAAAAAAAAAAAAAAAGCUACCCAGUCUGGCUCCAUUUCCGUGAGGAUGUGGGGUGGUUUCUAUGGGAUCCUAAGGGAUACCAUAACCCCCCACCCCAGGCAUGGCUCUGCCUGGUGGUGGCAGGAUAUCCAGUGACUGACGGGCUGGUGGAGGAAGGGAUGACACACAGUCAUCCUCACUCCCCACCCAUCUGCCUCUGGAUCAACACCUGGCAAGUCUGGCUGGAGUCAGGGGCUUUGAUGUGGCUGAAACCCAGGCCAAAACAAGGGGGAGGCAUGGCCUCGGGACACACAGAGCUGUCGAAAGGCCACCCCACAGAAAGCUCUCCUCUUCCUCUGGGAGUCUGGGACCCAACUCAGGCUCUCCUGGCCUCCUGGGUGAGGAGCUGGGUAAGCCCACCAGCCCCCUGCACUAUCCCCUUUCCCCUUCUAAAACCCUCAAUCUCCUUGGAAACCGGAGUGAAGGGCAAGGAGUGCCUAAGCCUUCAAGGGAGUUACCCAUACCUGCCCCUUGAUCUGUCCAUAGAAACUGGCUGGAUCUUCACUGUAUUGGCUGCUGGGGAGCUGAGGACCCAGAUUUGGGAGGCAGCCUGGUGGCGUCUUGUGGCCUGGGUGUCUACUUGUGCCAGUUCUGUGGCCCUAGCAAUGCCACCUCCUCCCAGGGGAAUGUCUGUUAUCGUCUGAGAACUGAGGAUGCUGUUGCUCCAUCCACCCUCAGGAACGCUGGAAAGGUGCUCCGGCCCUUGGAAUCAUCCAGGGGUCCUGUCUUCCUCUACAUCCACAUCCAAUCUCAGGGCAAAUUCUGUUGGCUGUGGACCCAGAGUCCAAACCCUUCUCAUUCUCCAUGGCUACUGCCCCAGCCAAACCCGAGGUUCUGAAUGGCCUGCUUCAGAACUUGUGCCCAACAGCCUGCUCUCAACAUGGCCACCAGAGUGUCCUCUAAACAGAGGCUGGAGGCUUCAAACUGCAUUCAUGGUUCUGAAUGUGACAAGUGGGCAAAAUAAUAAAGAUGUCUGUCCCCUUAA